rnacentral:tRNA from 1 species
UAGCUCAGACGGUAAAGCAUCUGCCUGCAAUGCAGGAGAUCUGGGUUCAAUCCCUG